UACGGAGGGUGCAAGCGUUAUCCGGAUUCACUGGGUUUAAAGGGUGCGUAGGAGGGCAGGUAAGUCAGUGGUGAAAUCUUCGAGCUUAACUCGGAAACUGCCGUUGAUACUAUCUGUCUUGAAUAUCGUGGAGGUAAGCGGAAUAUGUCAUGUAGCGGUGAAAUGCUUAGAUAUGACAUAGAACACCGAUUGCGAAGGCAGCUUACUACACGAUCAUUGACGCUGAGGCACGAAAGCGUGGGGAGCAAACAGG
rnacentral:rRNA from 1 species